UUGGAUGUUGGCCUAGUUCUGUGUGGAAGACUAGUGAUUUUGUUGUUUUUAGAUAAGUAAAUUGACAACAAAUCACAGUCUGCCAUAUGGCACAGGCCAUGCCUCUACAG
ensembl:miRNA